rnacentral:rRNA from 1 species
UAUGGCUUGGGAGGAACUCUGAUGCAGCAACGCCGCGUGGAGGAUGACGCAUUUCGGUGUGUAAACUCCUUUUAUGAGUCAAGAAAAUGACGGUAGCUCAUGAAUAAGCACCGGCUAACUCCGUGCCAGCAGCCGCGGUAAUACGGAGGGUGCAAGCGUUACUCGGAAUCACUGGGCGUAAAGGACGCGUAGGCGGGUUGGAAAGUCAGGUGUGAAAUCCUACAGCUUAACUGUAGAACUGCACUUGAAACUUCUAAUCUAGAGUAUGGGAGGGGGAGAUGGAAUUAGUGGUGUAGGGGUAAAAUCCGUAGAUAUCACUAGGAAUACCCAAAGCGAAGGCGAUCUCCUGGAACAUAACUGACGCUAAGGCGUGAAAGCGUGGGGAGCAAACGGGAUUAGAUACCCCGGUAGUCCACGCCCUAAACGAUGAACACUAGUCGUCGUGAUGCUUGUCAUUGCGGUGAUGCACUUAACAGAUUAAGUGUUCCGCCUGGGGAGUACGGUCGCAAGAUUAAAACUCAAAGGAAUAGACGGGGACCCGCACAAGUGGUGGAGCAUGUGGUUUAAUUCGAAGAUACGCGAAGAACCUUACCUAGCCUUGACAUUGAUAGAAUCCCGCAGAGAUGUAGGAGUGCCCUUCGGGGAGCUUGAAAACAGGUGCUGCACGGCUGUCGUCAGCUCGUGUCGUGAGAUGUUGGGUUAAGUCCCGCAACGAGCGCAACCCUCGUCCUUAGUUGCCAGCAGGUUAAGCUGGGCACUCUAAGGAGUCUGCCUUCGCAAGAAGGAGGAAGGUGAGGACGACGUCAAGUCAUCAUGGCCCUUAUGGCUAGGGCUACACACGUGCUACAAUGGGGCGUACAGAGUGUUGCGAUACCGCGAGGUGGAGCCAAUCACUUAAAGCGUCUCUCAGUUCGGAUUGGAGUCUGCAACUCGACUCCAUGAAGCUGGAAUCACUAGUAAUCGUAGAUCAGCAAUGCUACGGUGAAUACGUUCCCGGGUCUUGUACUCACCGCCCGUCACACCAUGGGAGUUGACUUCACCCGAAAUUGGGAAGCUAACCUUCGGGAGGCUACCACUUACGGUGGAAUUAGCGACUGGGGUGAAGUCGUAACAAGGUAACCGUAGGAGAACCUGCGGCUGGAUCACCUCCUUUCU